UACCAGCACCCCGAGUGGUCGGGACGUUUAUUGGGCCUAAAGCAUCCGUAGCCGGUUCUACAAGUCUUCCGUUAAAUCCACCUGCUCAACAGAUGGGCUGCGGAAGAUACUAUGGAGCUAGGAGGCGGGAGAGGCAAGCGGUACUCGAUGGGUAGGGGUAAAAUCCGUUGAUCCAUUGAAGACCACCAGUGGCGAAGGCGGCUUGCCAGAACGCGCUCGACGGUUAGGGAUGAAAGCUGGGGGAGCAAACCGG
rnacentral:rRNA from 1 species